rnacentral:rRNA from 1 species
GACGAACCGUGCGAACGUUAUUCGGAAUCACUGGGCUUAAAGCGCGUGUAGGCGGGGCGGCACGUCGGUCGCUGAAAUCCCCCGGCUCAACCGGGGAACGGGCGCCGAUACGACCGCCCUCGAGGGACGUAGGGGGACCUGGAACUUCCGGUGGAGCGGUGAAAUGCGUUGAGAUCGGAAGGAACGCCCGUGGCGAAAGCGAGGUCCUGGACGUCUUCUGACGCUGAGACGUGAAAGCCAGGGGAGCGAACGGG